UACGAAGGGUGCAAGCGUUACUCGGAAUUACUGGGCGUAAAGGGCGCGUAGGCGGCCCGCUAAGUCGAACGUGAAAUCCCCAGGCUCAACCUGGGAACUGCGUCCGAUACUGGCAGGCUUGAAUCCGGGAGAGGGAUGUGGAAUUCCAGGUGUAGCGGUGAAAUGCGUAGAUAUCGAGAGGAACACCUGCGGCGAAGGCGGGUUGCUGGGCUGACACUGACGCUGAACUGCGAAAGCUAGGGGAGCGAACGGG
rnacentral:rRNA from 1 species